rnacentral:rRNA from 1 species
UUGCACGCUGGCGGCAGGCCUAACACAUGCAAGUCGAGCGGAUGAAGGGAGCUUGCUCCUGGAUUCAGCGGCGGACGGGUGAGUAAUGCCUAGGAAUCUGCCUGGUAGUGGGGGAUAACGUCCGGAAACGGGCGCUAAUACCGCAUACGUCCUGAGGGAGAAAGUGGGGGAUCUUCGGACCUCACGCUAUCAGAUGAGCCUAGGUCGGAUUAGCUAGUUGGUGGGGUAAAGGCCUACCAAGGCGACGAUCCGUAACUGGUCUGAGAGGAUGAUCAGUCACACUGGAACUGAGACACGGUCCAGACUCCUACGGGAGGCAGCAGUGGGGAAUAUUGGACAAUGGGCGAAAGCCUGAUCCAGCCAUGCCGCGUGUGUGAAGAAGGUCUUCGGAUUGUAAAGCACUUUAAGUUGGGAGGAAGGGCAGUAAGUUAAUACCGUGCUGUUUUGACGUUACCAACAGAAUAAGCACCGGCUAACUUCGUG